rnacentral:rRNA from 1 species
ACGCUGGCGGCAUGCCUACACAUGCAAGUCGAACGGGAUCUUGACUUCGGUCAGGUGAGAGUGGCGGACGGGUGAGUAACACGUGGGAACCUGCCUUUGGUCGGGAUAACCGCGGGAAACUGCGGCUAAUACCGGAUACUCCCGAGAGGGGAAAGAUUUAUCGCCAGAAGAGCGGCCGAUGUUCGAUUAGCUAGUUGGUGGGGUAAAGGCUCACCAAGGCGACGAUCGAUAGCUGGUCUGAGAGGAUGAUCAGCCACACUGGAACUGAGACACGGUCCAGACUCCUACGGGAGACAGCAGUGGGGAAUUUUGGACAAUGGGGGCAACCCUGAUCCAGCCAUUCCGCGUGAGUGAAGAAGGCCUUCGGGUUGUAAAGCUCUUUCGGCAGGAACGAAACGGUCGUUGCUAAUACCAGCGGCUAAUGACGGUACCUGAAGAAGAAGCACCGGCUAACUACGUG